CUGUUCAGUAGGUCCCUGCUAAAAUCCGGUCGCCUAACGGUCGGAAGGGUAGGGAUACCGCUGUACUUGGGGGCGGGAGACGACGACGGUACUCCGCAGGUAAGGGUGAAAUCUUAUGAUCUGCGGAGGACCACCAGUGGCGAAGGCGGUCGUCGAGAACGCGCCCGACGGUGAGGGACGAAACCCAGGGGAGCGAAUCGGAUUAGAUACCCGAGUAGUCCUGGGCGUAAACCAUGCCCGUUAAGUGUUGCUACGGCCACGAGCCGUGGCGGUGCUGCAGCAAAAGCGUUAAACGGGCCGCUUGGGAA
rnacentral:rRNA from 1 species